CCAAAACCCCACAUCCUCAAUUUCCCCAAAAUCUUUAAAAAAACAAAACAAAAAUCUUCAAACCCCACAAACCAAAACCUCUCUUACAACAAAGAUUCAAUCUAAAAAUUUGAUCUUUUUUCUCUUACAACAAAAUUCCAAGGUUUUGAUGGGUUGUUGAUAGAGCUAACAUCACAGCUGGCGAAGCCGAUGAUCGGUUAAAAUGUCAAUUUUACAGACAAAAAAGGAGAGUAUUUAUCUUUAACAGCUGGUCCUUUUACUGUUUAUUUUUUAUAGUUAAAUAUAUUGAUCAUACGGAGGAGAGUUUGCUGAUAUGUUGAUUUCAAGUUAUGAAUCAAGCUAUGAAAGUAGAUUGUCGUAGAAAUACUAUAAGGCAAGACUGCUAUAAUUAAACCUUGUAGUUCGAUUUUUUCUCGAAAUGCUGUUAUACCAAAAGUUUUAGUGUGUGAA